GUGCGCGCGCCGCCGACCCGCCUCUCGCCCGCCGAACCAGGCUGAGAGGAAGCAGACUUGCCGCGAGGGCGCGCCCCCGGACGGGCAUUGGGCGCGUGCGCGCGCGUUCCAGGGACUCCGAGUCUUUUGGGUGCCCCCACCAGGUCGGACCUGAGCGUUUUUCCGUGCAAUUACUUGAGUCGGCUGCAUCUUCUCUCCGCCCUUCUCUGUAAAGUGGAGACGUGGAGGAGUGCCUGGUCAAUUUUCCAAAAUGUUAAUGGAAAGACAGUCUGAUGAAAAGCUUUCUCCUGAAGAGAAGGAGAUGAUCCAGAAAAUAUGGCAUGAGCAAAAACAGGGAAACAAGACUGCGGGUACAUUCUAAGGUCUCCUUGUGCCUGCGUUCCUGGAGAAUGUUGGAAGAGGAGACUACAUAUCCUUGGGAGGGAGAUGCCAAGUCACCUAAUUAUGGUUUUGCCACUUGGAAACCAGUUCCUACAUCCCACGGCUUGGCACUGCAUCUGGGUAUGGAAGAGUAGAAGAAGCCAAAAUCUUUGGAGUUGGGCUGGUGCAUGGAGCUGGGGCAGCUUCUGCCUCGGGGGAGGUAAUAGAGGCUGGCAUAUCCCAGCCCAAACACAGGGUUGGGUGUGGUGGCAGAGGCAGCCAUGUAGUUCAAGAAGGUGAGGCAAGGACAGAACUCUCUGAGCAUCUGAGUGAGCAGAAGGCAGGUGAGUUUGUGCAAACCUGGGAAGACACAUAAAUCAGGUCCAGAACAGUCUUCCCAUUGUACCAUUCAGAUCCCUUCAUACCCUCUUGUGUUACCAUAAUGCGGG
rnacentral:lncRNA from 9 species